UUUUAUUUGGGGCUAAAAUUUGAAAGCCACCACAAUUUGGGUCUAUUUUUGAGAUUCACCCGAUCUCUAAUGUGGAGUUUGAAUCCAUACCCAGGAUUUCACAUGAAUUAUUUGACUAGAAAUUCUGCAUUCCAAAUACAACUCCCAAGUUGUAUUUAGAGAAGUGAAAACAGUUGAAAGUUAGUUUUAAUUGUUUUCACUUUUUUUUCAUUACUAUUUCUCUCACAAAAUUUCAAAAACAACUCUAAUUUAUAUAUUCACGAUCAAACACAACAACUCCAAUUCCAAAUUCAAAAUAUUUCGAUUUUCAUAGUCAAACGCUUACUUAGAGGGUAUUUUUUUUAAUUUUCCAUAGCCCGCAUCUGAGCCCCGACUAAUUCGUAUCACGCGUUGCAGGGCCCAUUAAGGUGGCAGCGCUCCCAACAGAGUUUUCUCCAUAUCCAGGGUCGAACCCUUGAUCUUUGGUUAAAGGUGGAGCAGCCUCAUCCACUGCACCACAACCCAUGUUUGGAUCGGCUUAACAUGGUCAAACCAACUUAAUAGCAUUUUUUGACUUAUUUGGGUGUUUGACGAACAACAAAAGCACUUAAAAAUAAGUGCUUGUAAACUAAAAUAAGCCAAAAGCUUUAAGUUGGUCUACCCCAACUUAUUGCUUUUGACUUAGAAAUUAUUUAAGUUUGACCAUAUAAUUUAUUUUAUUAUUCCUUGUAUGUUUUUGAAACUCCUAAAAUACCUUUUCCUUUCUUAACUUAUUCUUUCGUUUCUUGCUCUCUUCCAUGGUGGUUGCUUCUCUACCAUAGCAAGCUCCUCUUUAUCAUAGUUCAUAUUUUGUUUAUCUACACUUUGAAAUGUUAUGAUUAAUUAUUCAUUUCGUCAUUCAAAUUUUAUUAUUUAAAAUUAUAUUAAUUAGAAAAAAAUCACAAAUUAUUUAAAAAGGUCUGUAAAAGAGGCAGAGCAUGCUUCUCUUCCAUCAAAGUGAAUAUCACUUUGAUUUAAAUUUUCUGGUGACAAAAAAGAUUGGCAAGUAAAUUCUUCAUAUACUUCAUUGCCAAAAAAGCUCUUUCAACUGAUGCAGUGGCAAUGGGUAGAAGCAAAGCAAACUUCACUAAAAGAAAUACAAGAGGAUAGGUUAAAUGCUUCUUUAUCUCAACCAACUUUCUUGAAAGUUCUCCAAGUACACCUAAAUUGGAGAAUCUUUUAUCAAUAUCACGAACAUCAAUAAUAUAAUUAACAAGUUGAUUCUCAAGAACCCUCAAGUGGAACUCAUCAAAGUCAUCAGGAUAUCAAAACUAGAAAAUGUAUCAAUUGGAUUCAAGCAAGCUACACCAUUAAUCAAAUCAUUUGUCACCUUAUUAAAAUGGUUAUUAAGUUCUUGUAGCUGCCAAUCAAUAAUUUGAUAAAACACAUCCACACGAUAAUGGUGCAAAGUAGUAUAAUCAAAUACUUUACGUCGUGAUCUCCCUGAGUUAGCAUAUGGCUCAUCAUAAUUAGGUAAUGGAAUACUAUGGUUGAUACAAAAUGCCUCGACCUUUUCUUUGAGCGAAUCCCAACCAACAUUCUUUUUUAAAAUAGGAUGCCAUUCAUUAUCUCAUAAUGUUUGCAGUCUUCUCUUUGCUACUUUUACAAGAAUCAUGGCAUUAGCAAUAUCUUGUUCCUUUUUCUGUAAUGACACAUUAAGAUUAUUUGUGAUUCCUAAAACAUCAGUUAUCAAAUACAACAAGAAAAUAGUCUCAAAAGUUUGACAACUUCUGAGAAAUCCCGAUGCGCUAGCUUUUUCUUCCGAAGUACUUGCAUUUUCAAUAAGAGAAUCAAGUACAUCAACAAUGGAGGCAAAUUUACUAAUAAAGUUUCCAAACGACUUGUAGUGAGAUCCCCAACGAGUGUCACCGGCUUUAAUAAGACCAAGUUCUUGAUUCAAACCUCUACCCAUUUCUAGCUCACCCAUAUCUAAUGCCUUUUGGAGUUUUUCUUUUUGAGAUUCUAGAAAUUCAUCCACACGUUUAAAGGAAGCCCCCAACACAUUCAAAAUAUUUGAAGUCAAUAAUACAAGUUCUCUUAUUUGAACACACCUUGUAGAAACCGCAAAAGAGUCAAUUGAAGUUGAUGAGCAAAAUAAUGAACUGAGUGAGACGAUCUACUUUCUUGUCUAAUUAAUGUUUUAAGACCACCUAACUCACCUUGCAUAUUUCUUGCUCCAUCAUAACAUUGCCCUCGUACAUAAUCUAAUGUGAAAGAAUGGUGAGCAAGUACAUCCACAAUUGCUUUCUUUAGAGAUAAAGCACUAGUAUCUUUAAUAAGAACAAGUCGAAUAAAUGCUUCCAUCACAAAUCCACUUUUAUCAACAUAUCAUAAACAAAUAGCCAUUUGCUCUUUGUGUGAUACGUCUCUUAAUUCAUCAACUAACAAAGCAGAAUAGUCACCAUCUAAAUCUUUUAUUAUAACUUUGAUUGUUUCAAUCUUACACGCGGUCACAAUAUCUUUUUGAAUAUAAUGAGAAAUCAUUUUAUUAUUUUUUGGAGCUUUUUCUAACACAUCAGGUUUAAUGUCAUCACAUCUAUCCGCAAGCCAAGAAAGUUGUUCAAGGAUGAUUCACUUUCAUCAUGACCGCGGAGUGCUAAACCUUGAUUUAGAAGAAAUCGUACCACAUCGAUUGAAGUAUUUAACCGAACUCGAUAUUCAUUCUUACUUUUCUCGUCCAACUUGUAAAAUACAGCCUCAAUAUAUUGUUCUUCCCUCAUAAGAUCUUCACACUUCCUUUUUGAUUGAUUAUGAAUGUUAUUCGAAGGACCAAUGUAUGUUGCAAAGCUAUCUUUUCUGUGCCAAUUUCUAAAUUCCUUCGUCAAAAAUUUAUUACCACUACCUUGAUGAAUGCUUUCACCUUGAAAUAAAUAACAAGGCAAACAAUAAGCUGCAUCUGCACUUACACUAUAUUCCAACCAAUUAAAAUAUUCAUCAAACAAUUUAGAAACAAAACGAUGUGGAGUUCUAGAAAAUUCUGUUUGAGGAAACUCAUGAUCUCAAGGUUGGAAAGGACAUUUUAGAAUGUAUUCCCUUCUUAUCUCAUCAUGAAUAUUCAGAGGAUAACUCAAAAUCGGAGGUCUUUCAGCGGGGUCAGCCUUUAAAUCAUUUACAUCAAAUUUUUGUCUCUGAGAAAACUGAGAUGGUAUUAUUAUUUGAUCAACAUCUUCAUCUCGUCGGGAUUGAUUUUUGAGACGUUGAACUUAUUUUUGAAACUUUACGAAAAUACUUCUCCAAGCUCAUUGAAACCUCAAACUAAAAUAAAAAUCAAGCGCAUCACACUUAAUAUUCAAAUUUCAACAAAUAAAAAAAUUAUGAAUACUUGAAACAUUGUCCCAUCCUCCCAAAUAAUAUUAACUAGCAAGUUAUCUACUAGAUAAAACUAGAAUAUUAAAUUACUUAGUUCAAAAUCAAAAAAUAUAUACAAAAGCAAGUUUAAGGGAAACAAAAUUAAACUAAAAGAUAAGAAGAAUUGAAGCAUACCUUUUUACAAUUCACACUCCAAUAGUCGAUGAAGAAAAAUUAUAAUGAUAGCCCGUUGAAGCUUGAAGACUUUAACACCAAAUUUAAAAAAAAAAAAUUAACAAUAAGAUGGAGAAGAUUGUGGAUUUGUGGUGGACAUAUGAAGGAAUGGAGAAGUGUUUAGUGAACUGAAGGAAAAUUGGGAAAGGGGUGGGUUUAAUUUUACUCCUUAUUAUAAAUGAAAACUUUUGGUUUCUACUAUUUUGUCUUACUUGUGGGUAUUUUCGUCAAUAACACUACCAAUCAAUAUUACUUUCCACGUCUCUUCUUUCGUCAAAUCCAUUUGUUCUUACCUUACAGAGAAAAGUUGACGAAAAUUGGGGAUCUCAAAUUUUACUUCCUUCCUUACUUCCUUACUUUCUGAUACAUUCAUGUCUGAAAUUCAUAGAUUUGCUUACUAUUUUCUAAUCAGAUCGGAAUUGAGGUCGAUAAUCUCUUGGUUUUCCGGUGAGGUCAGUUUAAUUUUCAUUUUAGUAAUUGAAAACUUCUAGAGAGAGAAGUGGAGUUGGUACUCGAUCGCUCUUUGCUUUGUAAUCCACUACCUCAGUUGAUUGAUCGAUGGAACUCGGUGGUGGUUGUGGUGUUGAUAUUAUGACAGAAGCGGAGAUUGUACUCUAUCACUCUUUACUUUAUAUUGUAAUAUGUGUGUGAUUGAGUGAGUAUAGAUCUAGAUCGAUCUAGAUCUGGCGGUGGUAUGGAGUUCGGAAGUCGGCGUCAGUUCAUUCACUGGUGGAUCUCUGUGGUAGUUGAUAUUGUGUUUGUUUAACUUUAAAGGAGCUGAAUGUUUUUAUCUAUCUGGUGUUGCUCCUCAGUAUUUCAUGAAGGUGAAGUUGCUCCUUGGAUUUCAUGAAGGUUUUCCAUACUUGGUUGAAUUCCCUGCCAAUAAAAGUUGUCUUAAUAAAAACGAAGGUUGUUUAUGACCAACUAUGCUCUAUGGUUGAAAGGGAAAUGUAGCCUGCAACAAUAGAAGGACAGAAGCCAAUCUUGCUACUCCACUUCUAACUUAACAUAGAACACAUUACCUGCUUUUUACAAGAAGACCACUUAGGACUAAAGCCCGAGACGUUCAAGAUUGAAGAUUUCAGGUGCAGCUAUAUUGAAGUUAUUCAUUUGUCAACAAUGAGUUUUUUGCUAUAACUGCAAAACUUUCAUUUUCUUUUUGACCAUAUAAUUUGUUUUAGAAGAAGCAAGCAAAUGUAGACAUCCCUUUUUUUUUCUCUCUCUCUUUUGUCUUUCCCUAAACUAAAUUCUUUAUCAUACUUGG